rnacentral:misc_RNA from 1 species
GAUGAAGAACGUAGCGAAAUGCGAUACUUGGUGUGAAUUGCAGAAUCCCGUGAACCAUCGAGUCUUUGAACGCAAGUUGCGCCUCAAGCCAUUAGGUUGAGGGCACGUCUGCCUGGGCGUCACAUAUCGUUGCCUGAUGCCAGUUUCCUCGUGAUGGGUGACUGUGCAGGGCGAAUGAUGGCUUCCCGUGAGCAUUGUUGCCUCAUGGUUGGUUGAAAAUUGAGUCCUUGGUAGGGAGCGCCGUGAUAGAUGGUGGUUGAGUGACGAACGAGACCCAAUCAUGUGAGACCCCUACCGAAUUUGGCCUUCAUGACCCACAUGCGUCUUUGGAACGCUCAUGACGAGACCUCAGGUCAGGCGGGGCUACCCGCUGAGUUUAAGCAUAUCAAUAAGUGGAGGA